rnacentral:lncRNA from 1 species
AGGAAGCAUACCAAAUGUUGAUGAUGCGAAAAAAAAGCAAAAAUAGUCUCUCCGCCUAAGGAUCUUAUUUCUGAUGCAAGAAGAGGACACAUGAAAGGAGCUGAAAAGCAUGCAUGUGGAAAGAGGGAGUAGAAUAGAUGGCGGCAACUACAACAUCUGGGAAUUAAUAAUAUCCAGAAGGAAUGAAGAAUGAUGAGCACUGUCUUGUCUUCAAAAUGGAUUUUCGAGGAGGAUGUCAUCAGUGGGAGAAGGAAAUCAACAAAUUGUCCAGUGACAUUCCAAGUGUAUUAAAGCUUGGAGGUGGAGUCAAGAUGGUGGCAUAAAGGCAGCAAGGGUUCAGACCUCUGAAAUCCCUUCCUUACUGAUUACAAACUCAAUGCUCCUAGGGAACUGAAAAUCAAACCUGACAACAAAACAGAGGCAAGGAACCCUCCUGCUGGAUUCAAUUUAAACGUGCCUAUUGAAGCUACUACAUCUUCUUCAAAUCAGAAGUUUCCUGAAUCUCCUAUAGCCAUCUUUUCUAAAAUCACAUGCAGAACCUUCCCCCAAAAAGAUACAAGUUCUGUGAGAUCUCAAGUUUUAGGAUAUCUAUCAUGUUCUGCAAACAUAAAUGGAUCAGGACAUAUAGCCCUGGCUUUUUUCUUUAUGAACCCUUAUGCCUCCAUUUGCCAUGGGAAAAUGAGUGAUGAAUAAUUUUCAAGACCAGGAAGCCUUCUAUACUUGUUUUUUCAUUGUGGAGACUGCCCAAGCAUCUAAUAAAAUACAGGAACUAAGAAUUGAAAUAGUGAUU